GGGCGGUUAGCUCAAUGGUAGAGCGCUUACUUGACGUGUAAGAUGUUAUAGGUUCGAAUCCUUUACCGCCCA
rnacentral:tRNA from 1 species